rnacentral:sRNA from 18 species
UCAAGUAGCUCAACAGUAUUUUUGGUGAUGAGUUGUUUUUCUGUUAGUGCAAUAACUCAAUUUUGAGUUAACAGAGGGGGUAGCGAGUGAGUAUAGCUAUUAUCAUCGGCACACAU